GGGUUGUGAGGUUAAGCGACUAAGCGUACACGGUGGAUGCCCUGGCAGUCAGAGGCGAUGAAGGACGUGCUAAUCUGCGAAAAGCGUCGGUAAGGUGAUAUGAACCGUUAUAACCGGCGAUGUCCGAAUGGGGAAACCCAGUGUGAUUCGUCACACUAUCGUUAACUGAAUACAUAGGUUAACGAGGCGAACCGGGGGAACUGAAACAUCUAAGUACCCGAGGAAAAGAAAUCAACCGAGAUUCCCCAGUAGCGGCGAGCGAACGGGGAGCAGCCCAGAGUCUGAAUCAGCUUGUGUGUUAGUGGAACGGUCUGGAAAGUCCGACGGUACAGGGUGAUAGUCCCGUACACCAAAAUGCACAGGCUGUGAACUCGAAGAGUAGGGCGGGACACGUGGUAUCCUGUCUGAAUAUGGGGGACCAUCCUCCAAGGCUAAAUACUCCUGACUGACCGAUAGUGAACCAGUACCGUGAGGGAAAGGCGAAAAGAACCCCGGCGAGGGAGUGAAAAAGAACCUGAAACCGUGUACGUACAAGCAGUGGGAGCACCUUCGGGUGUGACUGCGUACCUUUUGUAUAAUGGGUCAGCGACUUAUAUUCUGUAGCAAGGUUAACCGUAUAGGGGAGCCGCAGGGAAACCGAGUCUUAACUGGGCGUUAAGUUGCAGGGUAUAGACCCGAAACCCGGUGAUCUAGCCAUGGGCAGGUUGAAGGUUGGGUAACACUAACUGGAGGACCGAACCGACUAAUGUUGAAAAAUUAGCGGAUGACUUGUGGCUGGGGGUGAAAGGCCAAUCAAACCGGGAGAUAGCUGGUUCUCCCCGAAAGCUAUUUAGGUAGCGCCUCGUGAACUCAUCUUCGGGGGUAGAGCACUGUUUCGGCUAGGGGGUCAUCCCGACUUACCAACCCGAUGCAAACUACGAAUACCGAAGAAUGUUAUCACGGGAGACACACGGCGGGUGCUAACGUCCGUCGUGAAGAGGGAAACAACCCAGACCGCCAGCUAAGGUCCCAAAGUCAUGGUUAAGUGGGAAACGAUGUGGGAAGGCACAGACAGCCAGGAUGUUGGCUUAGAAGCAGCCAUCAUUUAAAGAAAGCGUAAUAGCUCACUGGUCGAGUCGGCCUGCGCGGAAGAUGUAACGGGGCUAAACCAUGCACCGAAGCUGCGGCAGCGACACUAUGUGUUGUUGGGUAGGGGAGCGUUCUGUAAGCCUGCGAAGGUGACCUGUGAGGGUUGCUGGAGGUAUCAGAAGUGCGAAUGCUGACAUAAGUAACGAUAAAGCGGGUGAAAAGCCCGCUCGCCGGAAGACCAAGGGUUCCUGUCCAACGUUAAUCGGGGCAGGGUGAGUCGACCCCUAAGGCGAGGCCGAAAGGCGUAGUCGAUGGGAAACAGGUUAAUAUUCCUGUACUUGGUGUUACUGCGAAGGGGGACGGAGAAGGCUAUGUUAGCCGGGCGACGGUUGUCCCGGUUUAAGCAUGUAGGCUGGUUAUCCAGGCAAAUCCGGAUAAUCAAGGCUGAGGUGUGAUGACGAGGCACUACGGUGCUGAAGUAACAAAUGCCCUGCUUCCAGGAAAAGCCUCUAAGCAUCAGGUAACAUCAAAUCGUACCCCAAACCGACACAGGUGGUCAGGUAGAGAAUACCAAGGCGCUUGAGAGAACUCGGGUGAAGGAACUAGGCAAAAUGGUGCCGUAACUUCGGGAGAAGGCACGCUGGUGUGUAGGUGAAGCCCCUGCGGGUGGAGCUGAGACCAGUCGAAGAUACCAGCUGGCUGCAACUGUUUAUUAAAAACACAGCACUGUGCAAACACGAAAGUGGACGUAUACGGUGUGACGCCUGCCCGGUGCCGGAAGGUUAAUUGAUGGGGUUAUCCGUAAGGAGAAGCUCUUGAUCGAAGCCCCGGUAAACGGCGGCCGUAACUAUAACGGUCCUAAGGUAGCGAAAUUCCUUGUCGGGUAAGUUCCGACCUGCACGAAUGGCGUAAUGAUGGCCAGGCUGUCUCCACCCGAGACUCAGUGAAAUUGAACUCGCUGUGAAGAUGCAGUGUACCCGCGGCAAGACGGAAAGACCCCGUGAACCUUUACUAUAGCUUGACACUGAACAUUGAGCCUUGAUGUGUAGGAUAGGUGGGAGGCUUUGAAGCGUGGACGCCAGUCUGCGUGGAGCCAACCUUGAAAUACCACCCUUUAAUGUUUGAUGUUCUAACGUUGGCCCCUUACCGGGGUUGCGGACAGUGUCUGGUGGGUAGUUUGACUGGGGCGGUCUCCUCCCAAAGCGUAACGGAGGAGCACGAAGGUUAGCUAAUCCUGGUCGGACAUCAGGAGGUUAGUGCAAUGGCAUAAGCUAGCUUGACUGCGAGCGUGACGGCGCGAGCAGGUGCGAAAGCAGGUCAUAGUGAUCCGGUGGUUCUGAAUGGAAGGGCCAUCGCUCAACGGAUAAAAGGUACUCCGGGAUAACAGGCUGAUACCGCCCAAGAGUUCAUAUCGACGGCGGUGUUUGGCACCUCGAUGUCGGCUCAUCACAUCCUGGGGCUGAAGUAGGUCCCAAGGGUAUGGCUGUUCGCCAUUUAAAGUGGUACGCGAGCUGGGUUUAGAACGUCGUGAGACAGUUCGGUCCCUAUCUGCCGUGGGCGCUGGAGAAUUGAGGGGGCUGCUCCUAGUACGAGAGGACCGGAGUGGACGCAUCACUGGUGUUCGGGUUGUCAUGCCAAUGGCACUGCCCGGUAGCUAAAUGCGGAAGAGAUAAGUGCUGAAAGCAUCUAAGCACGAAACUUGCCCCGAGAUGAGUUCUCCCUGAGACUUUAAGUCUCCUGAAGGAACGUUGAAGACGACGACGUUGAUAGGCCGGGUGUGUAAGCGCAGCGAUGCGUUGAGCUAACCGGUACUAAUGAACCGUGAGGCUUAACCUUACAACGCCGAAG
rnacentral:rRNA from 1 species